rnacentral:rRNA from 1 species
GACGCCUACCCAGUGCCGGAAGGUCAAGGAAGUUGGUGAACUGAUGAUAGGGAAGCCGGUGACCGAAGCCCCGGUGAACGGCGGCCGUAACUAUAACGGUCCUAAGGUAGUGAAAUUCCUUGUCGGGUAAGUUCCGACCCGCACAAAAGGCG